rnacentral:tRNA from 1 species
GGGUCUGUAGCUCAAAUGGCGAGAGCAACCGGCUUUUAACCGGUCGAUUCGGGUUCGAGGCCCGGCGGACCCA